GUUAAGACCAAGAAAAUUGGCUUCAUACUUCAGUUCGUGAGGUGCUCUUUGCUGUGUUGUGGUAACCAGUGCAGUUGAGCAACUGUUCAGACAUCAGACUUCAGAGUUCAGACCAAGCAAAUUGGCUUCAGACUUCAGUUCGUGAGGUGCUCUUUGCUGCGUCGUGGUGACCCGUCAGCAGUUGAGCAAUUGUUUAGAACUUCUAACAGCC